ensembl:snoRNA
UAUAGUGUGGCCAUGGGAUCUCCAACUGCAUGCAAGAGCAACCUGGAGAGACUUUGACAGAACAGGUCAGCAUAAUACCUGCAGCUGCCACUCGUCUUUCCUAUAGUG